GUUACGAUCAAAACAAACAUCAAUUUUUAUUAUAUAUUGUAUUGUGUCAUAAGCAAAUAUGGCGAGUAAUUCUACGACUUCUGCUCUUGUGACCCUCUUCAUGUUUGCCAUGGUACUGUCUCCGAUUUCAACCUCUGAGGCAGCUCGAUCCACUUUUAUAGUUUCAGAUGCAACAUGUCCUGCUUGUGUAUGCUGCCCCGGCUCGGUACCAAAAGGCUCUUGCUGCAAAUGUUGUGCUAGUUCAACACCACCAAUUAACUCUCUGUCCAACAAAGGGGCUCCAUGAGACACCAAAAUUAUAUGAUAACGACAAAGAGGCCUAAGUUAUCACGAAAUAAAACAUGGCAUCCUCUCCUUGGAAGCCAUGUUCGUCUUCAAUUCAAUAAUAAGUCUAAAAGUACUGUAACAAAGUGGAAUAUAUAUAGUUACAGCGUCUUUCUUUACAAUAAACACGUUGGCAAGUCAACAAUUAUAUUUAAUGUAUAAUUGUAACUUUUCUAUUAUUAGGAAUUUCUUCCAUAUUCCUAUGUGUAGGGAUUCUAAUUAAUGGAACAAGACACUCAUAUUAUCUCUCU